rnacentral:lncRNA from 1 species
AUGUGUUCUGUUUUGUUUGCUGCUUUAUCAUUUCCAACUGCCCAGUCAGGAUUAAGAUUACAUCUCUGUAGACUUUAUAUUCUUAGCAAAACUAAUAAGNNNNNNNNNNNNNNNNNNNNNNNNNNNNNNNNNUCCUUUUCACAGACAGUUCACCUCUAUUUUUCUUUACAGGAAAAUCACUUCAGUUUGUUCCCUGCAAUGGCAGCUAUGACUUUCUCCAUGUCUGUGACCAUUUUGACUACGUGGCUGUUGGAUCAGGAAUGUGUUGAGAUUCUCAGGGUGAAUGAGUGGGAAGGCCUGAUACCUUCUGGGUACUAACUACAUGCCAGACACUAGAAGCUGCAUGCAGUGUAAUCCUAUUGCAGCCAUCUCAUUACUGGAGUGUUUAUGUGAGAGCAAAGCAGAACACGUAAGGCAGAAAAAUUCUUAUUGACUUCAGUGGAUAUUGGCUUACGCACUCAGUGAGAGGUUCACUGUAAUAAACAGAGUCAAAACCAGAGAAAACAACAGACAACAGCCUGGGAAUGAAACGCCAGUCGCUACUUUCCUGACUCCACAUCCUGUAGAAGACCCAUAGAACGCUGACCUCUCCCUGCAUAUGAGCCAUUCAGAUUUGAUGAAGAAGCCUUAGCUGAGGGAGCUGAGGAGAUCUGUGGGGCCACGAUCCAGCCUGCACCCACUCUGUAGCUAAAAAGAGAUGUGCUUUUCUCGGGGCUGUCAAACUGGUGUUGUUCAUAAGCUGUAAAUUCCUACAAAUUAAUUUUAAGAGAUGGAAAAAGUGGUUGCUCGUAGGUAAUACAUGUGGACUUCAGCAACGUGAAAAAUUUAGGAGAAAAUGAGAAGAAAAAGAGAGAGAGAUUCUGCUUUCCUGCCUCCUUUAUAAAAGCUGGUUCACCGUGUUCUUUGUGAUUAUUGGUCUUUGGAAUGCUGAAAGGAUGAUGGAGCACUGGAGGUCCAUGAUAUGGGCUGUGUGUGAAGUGCAUGAAUACCUACUUCUUAUUGCUGAAGAAUUUAUACAAGAUAAGCCCAUAGGAGCAAGGACUUCCCAGCUCAUUCACAAACUUUCUCAAGUUAUCAGUCUCUUGAUUGGACAAAAGUUUCAGGACAGCGCCACAGGAAAUGGACCACUUACUUUCAACACCCUUCGCAUUUGGAGUGGUCAAGAGAAAAUCCACGAAAGUGGUUACAAUCAUGAGAGAUCCUGCCUUUAUCUGGACUUGCAAAGAUGCUGUCACUAUGAUGUAACCACUGCCCUGAAUGGCGGUGUUCUUUGGAUAGCCAGUGACACUGAGGCAAUCCAUUUUGCUUUCCCAGGCCUCUGCUGCUGAGAUUCAUCAGUCAUGACAAGCAUAAACUCCAGCACCCAAAUCCAAUUUUGAGAGCAUGGCGGAUCUCAUCUUUAGCCAUCUCAUCAGGAGACACAUUCCUGUGGUAGUUAGUGUCCAUACAUCAUCACGAAACAAAAGCUACUCCACUGCAGGGUAACA